AGGAUGAACGCUGGCGGUGUGCCUAAUACAUGCAAGUCGAACGGGAUCUUCGGAUCUAGUGGCGAACGGGUGAGUAACACGUUGGUACCUACCCCUAAGUGGGGAAUAACUGCCCGAAAGGGUGGCUAAUACCGCAUAAUCCCGCAAGGGUAAAGCAGUAAUGCGCUUAGGGAGGGGCCUGCGUCUGAUUAGCUAGUUGGUAGGGUAAUGGCCUACCAAGGCGACGAUCAGUAGCUGGAUCGAGAGGUUGACCAGCCACACUGGGACUGAGAUACGGCCCAGACUCCUACGGGAGGCAGCAGUAAGGAAUCUUCCACAAUGGACGAAAGUCUGAUGGAGCAACACCGCGUGCAGGAUGACGGCCUUCGGGUUGUAAACUGCUUUUUAUAUGGGAAGAUUAUGACGGUACCAUAUGAAUAAGGACCGGCUAACUACGCGCCAGCAGCCGC
rnacentral:rRNA from 1 species